GCUGGUACAAGCAAGAUGAAAACCGCGGCGUUGUAUUGCUCCUUUCUUUGGUUUUGGUCGAAGGAGUAAUUAUUAAUCAGCCGACAGCAAGAAUCUUGAAGAUGGAUGACCUCAGACGCUUUAAAGAGACUCAACAGGAGGUUCAGUACCGAAGAGACAUCUGCUUACAGGCCCGUGAGCUGGGAUGUGAAGUGGAACCAAAGAAAUGAGUUGACUUGAACUGAAGACAGCACAGCAUACCAUAAUUUAACGUUCGACUGCAUUAUGAAAUGAUUAAAUUGAAAUAUAGAUUAUUUGCGGUAAAAAUAAACUGUUUUAAUC